CACGUAGGGCGCAAGCGUUGUCCGGAAUUAUUGGGCGUAAAGAGCUCGUAGGCGGACUGUCACGUCUGCUGUGAAAAGCUGGGGCUUAACCCUGGCCUUGCAGUGGAUACGGGCAGACUAGAGGUAGGUAGGGGAGAAUGGAAUUCCCGGUGUAGCGGUGAAAUGCGCAGAUAUCGGGAGGAACACCGGUGGCGAAGGCGGUUCUCUGGGCCUUACCUGACGCUGAGGCACGAAGGUCAGGGGAGCAAACGGG
rnacentral:rRNA from 1 species